GUAUUGAAACAGCAGCACAUAUACUAAAAUUGGAACGAUACAGAGAAGAUUAGCAUGGCCCCUGCGCAAG
rnacentral:sRNA from 1 species